CAAAAGGCUUUUCUUUUGCCUCCAAAACAUCCCUUUCCUCCUGAUUCAAAGCCACUCAUUCAAAACACAGAGAGUUUU
rfam:Manacus vitellinus contig101463, whole genome shotgun sequence.